AUUUGCUUAAUUCUGACUACUGCUCAAUGAAGGACAUAGGAUACAGGUGUUUGGCCCAACCAGUUCAACACUUGAACCUCCUCAGCACACCAUUAAUCAGACAGAAGAGGAGGGAACAAGUAGCAAAACUAUGUGAGGAUGAGAAAAGUAUGACUACAUGAAAAUAUGACUAAUCUACACCCUCAUUAUCCAGCAGGGACUUGUACCUUCAUGUCCACGUUAUGGGUAUGCCUGCACAGCACCAUGAAGGACAGACAUGCUAAAAACAAAAGGACAUAGUGAAGCUCCUCUGCAGCUAGACAAUGUUAAGAAAGCAGAGCGCAGUGCUGACCAACCAUUCCAUCAAGAACCAGUGCCUGGGAUUCUUGGGACACAGCACAGCCAACGUUUGCCAUGAAUGAGGGAGCAAACCACUCUGGAGCAGGAUGUUUGCAGUUACCUCUGUCACAAUAUGUUACUACCAUUUGUCACCAUCAAGACAG
rnacentral:lncRNA from 1 species